CAGCAGCCGCGGGAAUACGUAGGUGGCAAGCGUUGUCCGGAAUUAUUGGGCGUAAAGCGCGCGCAGGCGGAUCGGUCAGUCUGUCUUAAAAGUUCGGGGCUUAACCCCGUGAUGGGAUGGAAACUGCCAAUCUAGAGUAUCGGAGAGGAAAGUGGAAUUCCUAGUGUAGCGGUGAAAUGCGUAGAUAUUAGGAAGAACACCAGUGGCGAAGGCGACUUUCUGGACGAAAACUGACGCUGAGGCGCGAAAGCCAGGGGAGCGAACGGGAUUAGAUACCCGAGUAGUCCCUGUCUCUUAUACA
rnacentral:rRNA from 1 species